rnacentral:rRNA from 1 species
GGUAUUGAUUGGUGCUUGCAUCAUGAUUUACAUUUGAGUGAGUGGCGAACUGGUGAGUAACACGUGGGAAACCUGCCCAGAAGCGGGGGAUAACACCUGGAAACAGAUGCUAAUACCGCAUAACAACUUGGACCGCAUGGUCCGAGCUUGAAAGAUGGCUUCGGCUAUCACUUUUGGAUGGUCCCGCGGCGUAUUAGCUAGAUGGUGGGGUAACGGCUCACCAUGGCAAUGAUACGUAGCCGACCUGAGAGGGUAAUCGGCCACAUUGGGACUGAGACACGGCCCAAACUCCUACGGGAGGCAGCAGUAGGGAAUCUUCCACAAUGGACGAAAGUCUGAUGGAGCAACGCCGCGUGAGUGAAGAAGGGUUUCGGCUCGUAAAACUCUGUUGUUAAAGAAGAACAUAUCUGAGAGUAACUGUUCAGGUAUUGACGGUAUUUAACCAGAAAGCCACGGCUAACUACGUGCCAGCAGCCGCGGUAAUACGUAGGUGGCAAGCGUUGUCCGGAUUUAUUGGGCGUAAAGCGAGCGCAGGCGGUUUUUUAAGUCUGAUGUGAAAGCCUUCGGCUCAACCGAAGAAGUGCAUCGGAAACUGGGAAACUUGAGUGCAGAAGAGGACAGUGGAACUCCAUGUGUAGCGGUGAAAUGCGUAGAUAUAUGGAAGAACACCAGUGGCGAAGGCGGCUGUCUGGUCUGUAACUGACGCUGAGGCUCGAAAGUAUGGGUAGCAAACAGGAUUAGAUACCCUGGUAGUCCAUACCGUAAACGAUGAAUGCUAAGUGUUGGAGGGUUUCCGCCCUUCAGUGCUGCAGCUAACGCAUUAAGCAUUCCGCCUGGGGAGUACGGCCGCAAGGCUGAAACUCAAAGGAAUUGACGGGGGCCCGCACAAGCGGUGGAGCAUGUGGUUUAAUUCGAAGCUACGCGAAGAACCUUACCAGGUCUUGACAUACUAUGCAAAUCUAAGAGAUUAGACGUUCCCUUCGGGGACAUGGAUACAGGUGGUGCAUGGUUGUCGUCAGCUCGUGUCGUGAGAUGUUGGGUUAAGUCCCGCAACGAGCGCAACCCUUAUUAUCAGUUGCCAGCAUUAAGUUGGGCACUCUGGUGAGACUGCCGGUGACAAACCGGAGGAAGGUGGGGAUGACGUCAAAUCAUCAUGCCCCUUAUGACCUGGGCUACACACGUGCUACAAUGGAUGGUACAACGAGUUGCGAACUCGCGAGAGUAAGCUAAUCUCUUAAAGCCAUUCUCAGUUCGGAUUGUAGGCUGCAACUCGCCUACAUGAAGUCGGAAUCGCUAGUAAUCGCGGAUCAGCAUGCCGCGGUGAAUACGUUCCCGGGCCUUGUACACACCGCCCGUCACACCAUGAGAGUUUGUAACACCCAAA